GAAAAGUGCAACCACUGCGGAAGUAACUUAAACCUGCAUUCUAUCUGAAUUCCUGCAGAGGGCGACACGCGUGGUUGCAAAAGAGGUUGGUUUCAAUAGAAGUCUAUGGCGAAAUGAGCCACUUCUCACUUGAUUUAUUACCUCAGUAAACAGCUUCAUAAUGAGUUUAUGGUCUCGAUCGCUAGUUCUAAGUAUUCUGCAAUACAGAAUGAUGUUCAUUUUUGAAAUUACGGUCUCGUUGAUUUUAAAAUCGGCGAUAAAGCCGGGGGUGUUUUAGGGCGUGGCUAUGAUGUGAUUGACAGUUCUCGGCCUGUCAAUCAUGACAGAGUGUUAGCAAAGCUUGUCCACGGCACCUGAACUUCAUUUUGGGGGUUGACUGUUUCAUCGCUGUGGCUGUGACAUUUUGGUCGGAUAAUAAUAUCUUGUUCAGCGGUCGGUUGCACGGCAAGACACUCAAAGGAAUCGGCAGUUCAGUUUUUCCGACUUCCUUUUGAUGAGGCCAGGCUGAAGCAAUGGUUGGUGAACAUGAGGAGAGAGAGACCAGCAAAUGGAACCACGAAAAGUCACGUCUGCUGUUCACACUUUGAGGAAGAUCAGUUUUUUAGAGACAAGCAGGUAUCCACACUGAAAACUGAAUGAGCAGAGCCUCCAGAAGGAAGACCUGGUGUAUAGAGCCUCCAGAAGGAAGACCUGGUGUAUAGAGCCUCCAGAAGGAAGACGAGGUGUAUAGAGCCUCCAGAAGGAAGACAAGGUGUAUAGAGCCUCCAGAAGGAAGACCUGGUGUAUAGAGCCUCCAGAAGGAAGACCUGUUGUGUAGAGCGGCGUAUUUGGUGCCAUUUCAUCUGGAUGUGGAAACCAGAGCGUUGACCACAUCCAAAGUUCUCAAAUGUGUUCUGAUUGUAAAAAUGCCAGAAAAUCAUUUUUGGUUCAGCUUCUUCUGCUGGAAGGAUGGACAAUCUUUUGGCACUUGGUAGUUAGAGGUUCAAUUUCUUGUGGUUGACUUAGUUUCUGCUGUAGUUUGAGAGGUGAUAGUAGUAACAUUAAGUAGUUUUGUGGAUUAAAACUUUUAUAAAUAUUAAACUGGAAUAAAAUAAUGAAUAUACUCUAGCAGUCACAGGUGAAAGUAUGUUUGGUAAUUUCACAUAAAGGGUCUUGUAUAUUUUAUGUAUUUAUGUACUGUUAGAAUUAAAUAUUGACAUUGCA